rnacentral:rRNA from 1 species
GGCUUUUUGAUUAUAAUUUAAAGUCUGGCCUGCCCAAUGAGUUUUUAAAUGGCCGCGGUAUUUUGACCGUGCAAAGGUAGCAUAAUCAUUAGUUUUUUAAUUGAAAGCUGGAAUGAAAGGUUGGAUGAAAAAAUAACUGUCUCUAUUUAAAUUUUUUAGAAAUUUAUUUUUAAGUUAAAAAGCUUAAAUAUAAUUAGAAGACGAGAAGACCCUAUAGAGUUUUAUUAAUUUCUAUUAUAAUGCCUUUAGAAUUCACUUUUUUAUAAUAUUAAUUAAUUUAAUUGGGGUGAUUGAAAAAUUUAAUAAACUUUUUUUACAUUUAUACAUUUAUUUAUGAGUAAAUGAUCCUUAGAUAAAGAUUAUAAGAUACAAUUACCUUAGGGAUAACAGCGUAAUUUUUUUAAAGAGUUCAAAUCGAAAAAAAAGAUUGCGACCUCGAUGUUGGAUUAAAAUAAAAUUUUGGUGUAGAAGCUAAAGUAUUUAGGUCUGUUCGACCUUUAAAAUUUUACAUGAUCUGAGUUUAAACCGGUGUGAGCCAGGUUGGUUUCUAUCUCUAUUAAAUUUAAAUAUUUUAGUACGAAAGGACCAAGUAUUUGAUUAAAAAUCUUGUUUAAGAAUAAAAUUGUUGUUUUGGCAGAGUAGUGCAAUAGAUUUAGAAUCUUUAUAUGUAAAUUAAUUUACAAAUAAUACUUGAUAAUAAAAGAUUUAUUUUUAAUAAUAAUCUCUAGUUUAAUUUUAUUAGUUUUUGUUUUAGUUGGAGUAGCAUUUUUAACCUUAUUAGAACGUAAAGUUUU